GUGCUCGUUUUCUCAGCACAUAUACUAGAAUUGGAACAAUACAGAGAAAAUUAGCAUGGCCCCUGCGCAAGGAUGACAUGCAAAUUCGUGAAGUCAUAGAAUCAUAG
rnacentral:snRNA from 1 species